CAGUAGCCGCGGUAAUACGAAGGGGGCUAGCGUUGCUCGGAAUGACUGGGCGUAAAGGGCGCGUAGGCGGCGGUCAAAGUCAGGCGUGAAAUUCCCGGGCUCAACCUGGGGGCUGCGUUUGAUACUUGGUUGCUUGAGUGGGGAAGAGGGUCGUGGAAUUCCCAGUGUAGAGGUGAAAUUCGUAGAUAUUGGGAAGAACACCGGUGGCGAAGGCGGCGACCUGGUCCUUGACUGACACUGAGGCGCGAAAGCGUGGGGAGCAAACAGGAUUAGAUACCCCCGUAGUCCCUGUCUCUUAUAC
rnacentral:rRNA from 1 species